rnacentral:rRNA from 1 species
CCUACGUGAGGCUGCAGUGGGGGAUAUUGCACAAUGGGGGAAACCCUGAUGCAGCGACGCCGCGUGUAGGAAGACGGUCCUCUGGAUUGUAAACUACUGUUCCCAGGGACGAAGAUGACGGUACCUGGGGAGGAAGCUCCGGCUAACUACGUGCCAGCAGCAGCGGUAAUACGUAGGGAGCGAGUGUUGUCCGGAUUUACUGGGUGUAAAGGGAGCGUAGGCGGGGAUGAAAGUUGGGUGUUAAAUCUACCGGCUCAACUGGUAGUCGCACUCAAAACUGCAGCUCUUGAGUGAAGUAGAGGCAGGCGGAAUGCCUAGUGUAGCGGUGAAAUGCGUAGAUAUUAGGAGGAACACCAGUGGCGAAGGCGGCCUGCUGGGCUUUUACUGACGCUGAGGCUCGAAAGUGUGGGGAGCAAACAGGAUUAGAUACCCGUGUAGUC